GGCGGGCUGCGCGGGCUGGGCGGGCUGAGCUGGGCGGGCUGCGCUGGGGCUCGCCUGCACACUUCGGCUCCCACACAGGACACCAGCCAGUCUCUGACCCGCCGCGGGCGCCAAGCCCAGAUCUGCCAGUGAGCCUCAGGCUUUGGGAACUGAAGAGUGUAUCUGAAAAACCCACCCAGCAUUCCAAUGGCCAGCAACAACACCGCCAGCAUAGCACAAGCCAGGAAGCUGGUAGAACAGCUGAAGAUGGAAGCCAACAUCGAUAGGAU